rnacentral:rRNA from 1 species
UACGGAGGGUGCAAGCGUUGUCCGGAUUUAUUGGGUUUAAAGGGUGCGUAGGCGGCCCGUUAAGUCAGUGGUGAAAGCCUCCAGCUCAACUGGAGAACUGCCAUUGAUACUGGCGGGCUUGAGUACAGAAGAGGUUGGCGGAAUUGAUUGUGUAGCGGUGAAAUGCAUAGAUACAAUCAAGAACACCGAUUGCGUAGGCAGCUAACUAGGCUGUAACUGACGCUGAGGCACGAAAGCGUGGGGAGCGAACAGG